UCUCCAGAUAAGGCACACAAAAGCCCGGCUGGCCUUUGCAAAUGCUCCUCUGGACAAUGAAGAAGACUUCUGGUCUUCUGUUUUAUGGUCAGAUGAAACAAAAAUGUUGAUGUAACACUCUAAGUUUCAUUGUUCCUUAUAUGAAAGAACAGGUAUUCAAAAAUGUUCAAUGUUUUAUUUAUGUUUACAAAUUGUGUGUUAUUUUAAUUUCUACAGCGUAAAUUUAUUUGGUAAGUGUUGUUAAACAUGUUCUGUGUGUAAACAGUUAUGUUGCAGUUAAUUUGGGAAGACUGGUGUAGUUUUCGGAAAUGGCCAGCAGGGGGAUCGAGCGGUCCGGGGAGGAGUGAGAGAAGAAGAAGUGAGAAGAGAGCGGACGAGGAGGAAAGCGGACGAGGGAGAAAGCAGACGAAAAGUCAAGAGAAAAAGGCAAAGCCGACAGUGGUGAGCUUUGUAGUAAAAUAACGGCUACAUGGGGGAGAAGAACACUGUCCGACCGUCCACCCGACGUCGGCUCGUCCGUUUUCCGUCCGUGUAGUAUGAACUGUGUCGUCGGACUGACGCACGGAACGCAGUGGCUAGCUGUUAGCCUUACUAGCACAGCAAGGACUUCCUAGCUACACGUGUGAGCCGCCUUUUGUUAUUCUCUUGGGCGACAAGAGGAGUCAAGUGCAGGAGGACGGACAUUGGCGAGGAGCUUUCUACCUAUUGACGUAUGUUGAGAGGAGCGGAGGACUGGAGCCUACCCCUGGAAUCAGGCCUGAACUUUGCUUUUAUUUUUUUUGCCGGCUUUAGUUUACUUUGGUACUCAUAAAGGGCUCAUAUGUAUAUGUGAAUGUGACAUAUUGGUUGAUUUUCAUUUUAUUUUAUUAUUUUUCCAAAAAAUCAGUUCUAUAUAAAUGUUUGCUAUUUUAA